rnacentral:rRNA from 1 species
CCUACGGGUGGCAGCAGUGAGGAAUAUUGGUCAAUGGGCGCGAGCCUGAACCAGCCAAGUAGCGUGAAGGAUGACUGCCCUACGGGUUGUAAACUUCUUUUAUAGAGGAGUACAGUGAGGCACGUGUGCCUUUUUGUAUUUACUUUAUGAAUAAGGAUCGGCUAACUCCGUGCCAGCAGCCGCGGUAAUACGGAGGAUCCGUGCGUUAUCCGGAUUUAUUGGGUUUAACGGGAGCGUAGAUGGGUUGUUAAGUCAGUUGUGAAAGUUUGCGGCUCAACCGGAAAAUUGCAAUUGAUACUGGGAGUCUUGAGUACAGUUGAGGUAGGUGGAAUUCGUGGUGUAGCGGUGAAAUGCUUAGAUAUCACGAAGAACUCCGAUUGCGAAGGCAGCUUACUAAACUGCCACUGACAUCGAUGCUCGAAAGUGUGGGUAUCAAACAGGAUUAGAUACCCCAGUAGUC